CCUACGGGUGGCAGCAGUGGGGAAUAUUGCACAAUGGGGGAAACCCUGAUGCAGCGACGCCGCGUGAGUGAAGAAGUCUUUCGGUAUGUAAAGCUCUGUCAGCAGGGAAGAAAAGGACGGUACCUGACCAAGAAGCCCCGGCUAACUACGUGCCAGCAGCCGCGGGAAUACGUAGGGGGCAAGCGUUAUCCGGAUUUACUGGGUGUACCGGGAGCGUAGACGGCAGGGCAAGUCUGGAGUGAAAGGCGGGGGCUCAACCCCCGGACUGCUCUGGCAACGGCCAGGCGGGAGUGCAGGAGUGGUAAGUGGAAUUCCUCGUGUAGCGGUGAACUGCGUAGAUCUUAGGAGGAACACCAGUGGCGACGGCGGCUUACUGGACUGUAACUGCCGUUGAGGCUCGAAAGCGUGGGGAGCAAACAGGAUUAGCUACCCUUGUAGUC
rnacentral:rRNA from 1 species